rnacentral:pre_miRNA from 1 species
CUCCAGGGCAACCGUGGCUUUAGAUUGUUACUGUGCGGACGUGGGUUUGGUAACAGUCUACAGCCAUGGUUGGUCCGGCGGA